UAAUUCCAAGGCCCAAUAGUGUAUAUUAGAGUUGUUGCAGUUAAAAAGCUCGUAGUUGGAUUUCUGCUGUGGUCAUCCGGUGCCGCCCGUACGGGUGCGCACCUGGUUUGGCUCCGGCUUUCUUCCUGUAGCCUUCCGCGCUUAAUUGCGUGUGUUGUGUUGCGGAACUUUUACUUUGAGAAAAAUAGAGUGUUUCAAGCAGGCUUGUCGCCCUGAAUACUUCAGCAUGGAAUAAUAGGAUAGGACCUUGGUUCUAUUUUGUUGGUUUCUAGGACCAAGGUAAUGAUUAAUAGGGACAGUUGGGGGCAUUCGUAUUUAACUGUCAGAGGUGAAAUUCUUAGAUUUGUUAAAGACGAACUACUGCGAAAGCAUUUGCCAAGGAUGUUUUCAUUAAUCAAGAACGACAGUAGGGGGUUUGAAGACGAUUAGAUACCGUCGUAAUCUCUACCAUA
rnacentral:rRNA from 1 species